GACGAACGCUGGCGGCGUGCUUAACACAUGCAAGUCGAACGGAAAGGCCCUGCUUUUGUUGGGUGCUCGAGUGGCGAACGGGUGAGUAACACGUGAGUAACCUGCCCUUUACUUUGGGAUAACUUCAGGAAACUGUGGCUAAUACCGGAUAGUAGCUCCUGCUGCAUGGUGGGUGUUGGAAAGUUUCGGCGGUUGGGGAUGGACUCGCGGCUUAUCAGCUUGUUGGUGGGGUAGUGGCUUACCAAGGCUUUGACGGGUAGCCGGCCUGAGAGGGUGACCGGCCACAUUGGGACUGAGAUACGGCCCAGACUCCUACGGGAGGCAGCAGUGGGGAAUAGUGCACAAUGGGCGGAAGCAUGAUGCAGCAACGCCGCGUGCGGGAUGACGGCCUUCGGGUUGUAAACCGCUUUAGCCUGUGACGAAGCGUGAGUGACGGUAAUGGGUAAAGAAGCACCGGCUAACUACGUG
rnacentral:rRNA from 1 species